rnacentral:tRNA from 1 species
GGGUGUGUUGGGCAGGUGGUGCGCCCAGCGGCCUGUAAAGCCGUAGCGAAAGCGUGGAGGUUCGAUUCCUCUCACACCCACCA